CCAGGUACAGGAGACACAAAGGACCUCUGGAACUUAAACUUCUUUGGUGUUCUGCUCAACACAGCUGAGCAAGAAUUUCUGCUGGCACCGAAGUUCUCACAGCUAGGCUGGGCUAUUUAAAACGGGAUUUCAUCCUAAUGAGCCUAAAAUAAAACAGUGUGUGGAAGGAGAUUUCAAAGUAUCCUCAGUCGGAGCAGGGGCUCGGGAGAAGGAGGAAAAACGCCAAAGCCAACCAAAGAGCACCCUCUCCUGGACACGGCACCGGAGGAGAGCUCCGAGCGCUCCUCCUGCACAUCCCAGCCCUGCCGCUCCUCGGUGACAAGUAGAGCCGAACCUGGGAACAGCAUCACUCAAAGGCUCGUUAGUUUGAUGAAGUGGCAAAAGUGACUCCAGCUCCCCUGGGUACUCCCAGCUCCGAAGCAUUUACACAUCCCAGGGGAAUUCUGAAAAACACCACCAAGCCUUUAGGCCACAUUUCCAAGCUCACUUGGGAAGAUCUUGCAGCA